CCUACGGGAGGCAGCAGUGGGGAAUAUUGGGCAAUGGGCGCAAGCCUGACCCAGCAACGCCGCGUGAAGGAAGAAGGCUUUCGGGUUGUAAACUUCUUUUGUCAGGGAAGAGUAGAAGACGGUACCUGACGAAUAAGCCACGGCUAACUACGUGCCAGCAGCCGCGGUAAUACGUAGGUGGCAAGCGUUGUCCGGAUUUACUGGGUGUAAAGGGCGUGUAGCCGGGUUGACAAGUCAGAUGUGAAAUCCUGCGGCUUAACCGCAGAACUGCAUUUGAAACUGUUGAUCUUGAGUACGUGAGAGGCAGACGGAAUUCCUAGUGUAGCGGUGAAAUGCGUAGAUAUUAGGAGGAACACCAGUGGCGAAGGCGGUCUGCUGGACAGCAACUGACGGUGAGGCGCGAAAGCGUGGGGAGCAAACAGGAUUAGAUACCCCAGUAGUC
rnacentral:rRNA from 1 species